rnacentral:rRNA from 1 species
UACAGAGGGGGCGAGCGUUAUUCGGAAUCAUUGGGCGUAAAGAGCGUGUAGGCGGCCAGAUAAGUCCGCUGUGAAAACUCGAGGCUCAACUUCGAGCUGUCGGUGGAAACUAUUUGGCUAGAGUCCGGAAGAGGAGAGUGGAAUUCCUGGUGUAGCGGUGAAAUGCGCAGAUAUCAGGAAGAACACCCGUGGCGAAGGCGGCUCUCUGGUACGGAACUGACGCUGAGACGCGAAAGCGUGGGGAGCGAACAGG